rnacentral:lncRNA from 1 species
CUCCUUCUUCUCCUUCUUCUUCUUCGUCUUAUUCUUAUUCUUCCUUCUUAUCCAUUUUCCUCUCUUAUUCUUCUUCUUGUUCUUCCUUCUUUUCCUUUUUCCUCUUCUUUCUUCUUCUUCUCCUCUAUCCUCUUUUUCUUCUUGUUGUUGUUGUUGUUGUUGUUGUUGUUGUUGUUGUUGUUGUUGUUGUUGUUGUUCUUCUUCUUCUUCUN